UAGGGAAUCUUCCACAAUGGACGCAAGUCUGAUGGAGCAACGCCGCGUGAGUGAAGAAGGUUUUCGGAUCGUAAAGCUCUGUUGUUGGUGAAGAAGGAUAGAGGCAGUAACUGGUCUUUAUUUGACGGUAAUCAACCAGAAAGUCACGGCUAACUACGUGCCAGCAGCCGCAGUAAUACGUAGGUGGCAAGCGUUGUCCGGAUUUAUUGGGCGUAAAGCGAGCGCAGGCGGAAUGAUAAGUCUGAUGUGAAAGCCCACGGCUCAACCGUGGAACUGCAUCGGAAACUGUCAUUCUUGAGUGCAGAAGAGGGGAGUGGAAUUCCAUGUGUAGCGGUGGAAUGCGUAGAUAUAUGGAAGAACACCAGUGGCGAAGGCGGCUCUCUGGUCUGCAACUGACGCUGAGGCUCGAAAGCAUGGGUAGCGAACAGG
rnacentral:rRNA from 1 species